AACGCACAUUGCGCCCCUUGGUAUUCCGAGGGGCAUGCCUAUUCGAGCGUCAUUAUCACCCCUCAAGCCCAGCUUGGUGUUGGGGCGUGCCGUGAAGGCAGCCCUUAAAUUCAGUGGCGGUGCCCCCAGGCUCUAAGCGUAGUAAACACGCCGCUAUGGAGCCCUGGGAGUGCUCGCCAGAACCCCCCAUUUUAUAAUGAUUGACCUCGGAUUAGGUAGGGAUACCCGCUGAACUUAA
rnacentral:misc_RNA from 1 species